AGCCCUUUAGCUCAGUCGGUAGAGCACACGCUCGAUAAGCGUGGGGUCGGCAAUUCGAAUUUGCCAAGGGCUACCA
rnacentral:tRNA from 1 species